GGCGGCGGCGCUUGGUUUUCUAGGGGCGCUCCUCCUUCCCGCGGUGCUUUGCAUUCCGCGGUGAGUCAGGAAGCGCGCUGGGAAACGCAAGGAGCGCGUAAAUACCGCGACGCUUGCGCCCUUCGCGAGGGCUGGGCAAGGAAGGCCGCGAAUGUGAAAAGGGUUUGGAAGGAAGUCACUACAGCGAAGUAAAACGGCAACUUAUGGCUAACGAACCCCUGGAAAAACUGGGAUUUAAAGACCUGAUAGAUGAGAAAUCAGAAGCAAAACCUGAAAAGCUAUAAUGAAGACGAGAAAACUUUGCUUGUGUGGAAUGCAUAACUCUUAUGUAGUACAUAUUGUACAUUUUGUUCAUGUUGGAGCAGGAAGUGUUUCCUGAAGGAAUGUUUUUUCCAAAAUUCUCUUUCCUAAAAUAAGAUUUUUGGAAUGAACGAAAGUGCUGCAAUUGUUUGCUUUAUUUCUGAAGUAUUUCACGCUUAACUUUUUUUUUUUUAUUUCCCUAGCCCAGCCUUAAAAGAUCCAUAAGAUUAUUUUGCACACGAGAAAACAAUUAUUGCCUGAGGUGUUCUCUCACAAAAGAACCCAGGUCUCUGGAUGAGAAGUAAAGUUCUAUUUAAAAAAAAUUGGGUAGAUUGGAUAGAUCUCAAACUUUAAGUCAGCUUUAUUUGAGUAUUGCUGACAUGCUUAGAGCAGUUACUUGUCAGUUGGAAAUAAAAUUGGUAUGGUACUUACAAACUGCUUUUAAUUAAAUACUAGUAGUGAUCCCCUCCUUUGGGAAGAUAUCCUUCUCACUCUGAUAUAUGAAAUACUUGGGUCCUGAUUUCCCCCCCCCCCCCCUCCCAUCUUUUUACCUUCGUCAUUGCUUGGAGAUUAUUCUAGUUCUACACACCAGUAAGAUAAUGAUCCUGCUUUUAUUUACAGUGCUAACGAUGUUCAUUCAACUUUAUUUCAUCAUUUAACUAGGAAUCUUUCAUGGUGGAUUUCAUCAUUUCUCCAGCUAGAGCAUUUUGCCUGUUCUUUUUCACAUCCUAAUGGUGAAACUGGGGUGGAGACAGGAGCAGUAUUUAUUUGUGUACUGAGUAAAUGUGAAUUGUAGAUCUGAAUGGACCCUUCCUCCUCCAAAGUGAUAAUUUCAUUCUUUUAAAAACAUUAAAAGACGGGGUAGAUCAGAAGUUAGAUAUCUAAAAAAUACAGUAUGUCAUUCCAAAAGACAUCAGCUGGGGCCCUUGCUUUGUCACAGUAAUGCAAUGACUGUACAGCAGAUUUUCAGUUGAGUCUGGGUAUGUCUUUAAGAUCCCUAACAGGUGUCUGUAAAAUUUAGUGUGAAUUAGCAGAGACAGCAGUGUUCCCUCUCAUGUACUAAUGCAAAUAAAUCUUUCUUAAUUAAUACUGAGCUCACCUCAGGGACUAUUAGAUAGCCCUCUGGAAAUAUGUCUCAAGCCGACAAUAAAUCUGAAGAUCUUCUGGUUGUAUUUUCCACUGUCUCUCUUCCCCGUCCCCCCUUUUAUUUUUUAAUCCAUUGGAUCAUUUUUCUGUGUAGCUGGCUCUUAAAAUGCAAGCUUCAUGGGGCAGGGCCUGCAGAUAUGGAUAAACUUUGUUCAUACCGA